UACGUAGGGUGCGAGCGUUAAUCGGAAUUACUGGGCGUAAAGCGUGCGCAGGCGGUUUUGUAAGCCAGAUGUGAAAUCCCCGGGCUUAACCUGGGAAUGGCAUUUGGGACUGCAAGGCUGGAGUGUGGCAGAGGAGACUGGAAUUCCUGGCGUAGCAGUGAAAUGCGUAGAUAUCAGGAGGAAUACCGAUGGCGAAGGCAGGUCUCUGGGCUGACACUGACGCUCAUGCACGAAAGCGUGGGGAGCAAACAGG
rnacentral:rRNA from 1 species